GCUCCGUUAGGCUAAAGGUCAGGCCAGCGGCCCUUCAAGCCGAGGAUGCGGGUUCGAGUCCCGUGCGGAGUA
rnacentral:tRNA from 1 species